UAAUAGGUACAAUACUAAAAUAAACACAAAUUAAAAAAAAGUUUUAUUAAAACAAAACUGUACAAAAAAGCAGUUAUACUACAUUUUAAUUACAGAACAGUCUACUGUCCAAAAGGCACUAAUCCAGAAUAGGAGAUACAAUGAUACAGGACUCAUUUGAACUAUUUUAAUCAAUACAAUAGAGCACUUGUUUCUCUGUCCAUUCACAUACAGAAACAAGGACUUUUGCUACAGUCAUUACACAUUGUUAUAAAUAUGAGCCCUACGUAGAAAGGUGCAGUAUCGCUCUCCCCUGGCCAUGGGUCAGCUCUGACAAAGACAGGGAUUAAAUUAAACAAAAAACCCAAAAGGGCACAAGGGGAGAGGCUGAUGGUUCAUCCUCACAGCAGCUGCUGCCAGGGGAAGGUGUGAUGGAUACUGACCCUCACCUGCAUUUGGGGUGGAGGCUGGACCAGUUUCCUCAAGGGGCUGUGGUGGGGCUGAAGGUGAAGCUCCAUCAUUUCCUGCCCCGAGCUUCCCAUCAGUUACUGCACUGCAUCCUGCUCUAUCCAGUCUCCUUUGGCCCUUUGUGAUGGAUAAACAACAAUUCCCAAGCACACCAAGGGCUCUCACGUUUCCUGCACUGUUCCUUUUCUCCUCACAGGGAGCCACCAGCACCUUGCAGGUAAAGGCAGUGAGUGGGAGAAGAGCUGGGAAUGCUCUUCCCAACACUCAGGGCCUUCACUGGCAAGAACAGAUGGAUCCCUCUCAAGGCUGCUCCAACCUUCCCAAAGAGCCAGAGCCCCAAAGCCACCAGGGGUGCAGGGUGGAUGCUCCUGAGGGGGCACAGGGGGAGUCACAGCCCAUCACUCCCCAGCCCUCCUUCCUGACAGCCAAACCCAUCCAGGAGCAGCCAGUGCGGGAACUCGAGGAGCUUCCUCCAUCCCCAUGGGGUGGGACUGAGGCUCACCCCUGGCACCACCCCAGCACUUUCUUCCUUCCCACCACGAGGAUCUGCUCAUCCUCCCUCCCAACCUAUCCAAUCCAUAAUUUUUUUUCCCCCCAAAAUGUCAGGCUGAGGAGCAGCAGCAGACCAUGGAAAUGUGUUUAGGGAACAACUACGAGCAGAGGAAUCAACCAGAACAUGAAUAUUCAACUUCACCACGAAGAGGAGCUGGGAAAUGAAACAUCUCAUCUUUCAGCUGAACGAGCAGCCCUCAAGAUCAAGACCAGGGUGGAUCUGAAGAGGAUGAUGAUGAUGAUGAGGAUGAUGAUGAUGAUGAGGGGCAUCACCUGACUCGUUCCCUGUGGAGGAAGGAGGUUGGACACACGGCAGGAGAGGGAUACUGCACCUUUGGAACAGUGUCAUACACAUAAGACAAAGACAGGCAUCUGGAUGUUAACAAAAAUAAGUAACAAAGAAAUAUGAUUAAACAAAAUCUCUUCUCACAUCAUCCUAUACUACAUCCUCCUUCUGCUUAGCAGAAAAUUGUACGUACACAAAAAUACAAAUACACAAUUUUGUAGAACAGUCUGAUUUUAAUAUAUUUAUAUAUAUUUAUAUUUAUAUGAGUGGCAGGUUAGUUCAUUAUAUAGAGCUUUUUGCACUUUUGGCUCAUAUGCAACAAGGCUUUAUAAAUUCAGCUUUAGCUUUCAUUCAGGUUUUAUAGCUUCUUGAACAUUUGUUUUCACAUUUAAAGCAGCAUCCAAUUUGCAAGAGGAGUUGGUGGUGGCUACAGCAAGGAUCAGGUCAAGAGGUUAUUUGGGGGCUGGGGGGGAGGAGAAUAUACAUUCCAGUGUGAGUGUGAGUGUGAGUGUGAGUGUGCGCUAGUGCUCAUGGAGAACUGCCCAGAGGGUGAGCACACCGCUCCAGGAUCCCAUGGCUACCCCUUGAGGUAGGCAGGACACCUCCAACAGCAGAUGAGACACAGGCCCAGCCGGGCAGAGCAGCAGCUGGGGGGACAGGAGGAACGGGCAGGGAUGGGACACGGGGGACACUGAUGGAUCUGGGGACACUCAAGCGACAGGAGCCACCCCAGCACAGCCCAGCCAGGAGAUGCACGGCUGGCACCAGCCACAGGCUGAGAUCACAGUGGGACAAAGUCGAGGCACGCACAGAAUUCGGAUGUGAGAACCUCCCCAGCCUUCCCUGGGUUUUGCUGUUCCUGUGUGCUCUGGGGUUGCUCCACUGUGCCCUCACUCUGGGCUGCCACACUCACCGACAGCACCCACCUGCUGUCACCAACACCCCUGCAGGGACCGUCACUCUCAGGGAAUCCUCACUUCCAGAAGGCAUCUCGGAGCAGGGCCAAGGGCUGUGUGUGCCACAGAGGGUUUCCAUCAGGAAAUGUCCCCAUUUCCAUCAGGACCCCAGCAAUGGAUUCCCACAGGAUCACUGCCUUCUACCAGCACCCAUCCACUCCCCAGAGGAUGAGUUCCUGCCCUCUGCAGGGAUGCCCUCACAGCUUUCCUUGCCAACAGUCCCUUCCCACCUCAGAUGUUGUCAGAGGGAGAACAUUUUGUUGCUAAUGAAAAAUAAAACAUUUAUACACGGAUUGCUUUCAUUUGCUGAACCCUAAAGUGUUACUAAAACUCCUUCAUAGUGUUCUGUUACCUCCUCUCACUGUGGUCAGAAGAAAUCCUCCUGUAAUGAAAUAUUUUAAACUAUCACUGAUACCUUUAUUCUUUAAACCUACAUAAAAUUCUCACCUUUACAAAAUUAUAACCACCUGCCAAUAGUUAGGGUUAUUUGGACAUGUUUAGCAGGUGCCACUAUGAUAAAUGCAGAAAUAAUUAAGAAUAUAGGAAGAAACUGCCUUUGGGAUUCCAGAGGGGUUCUGGCUGCCCCAUCCCUGGAAAUGUUCCAGGCCAGGCUGGAUGGGGCUUGGAGCAACCUGGGACAGUGGGAGGUGUCCCUGCCCAUGGCUGGAUGAUUUUUAAGGUUCUUUCCAACCCAAACCAUUCUGUGAUUCCAAAGGAGGUGAUUAAAGACGCACAUCAGCUUUUUCCACCCAGAGAUGGAUGUUUAUCACACAGAGCUCUUUGUAUCUGCAAUCCAAGAGGCAGUUUCCUACUGAAUUCCAUCCUCUUUGCCACCCACCCCAGAUCAGAGAUUGCAAACGUUUGGCUGAGGAAUGAGAUCACCCCCCAAAAGACUGAGAACCAAGGGGGGCAGCAUGAGGAAAGAACAGGGAGUUUGUCCAGCCAAAUUCUGCUGGACCCACUGGAGGGAUGCGUGCAGGGAAGCAGGGAGGGCUCUUUUCUCAAGAGGGAAAUGAGGUCUAAUCCUGUUCCUCCAGCUCACUCUGGAGUCCUGUUCCUCACUUAGGCACUUUUUAAAUUGACAUUAAGAAAAAAAAAACAACUAAAAUGAAAGAAGUACUGCACAAAUCUCCCACUUCCCGGGCUUUGGGAGGAUCAUGAAGACCAAGAGGAAGACAGCCAAGGCAAUGUGUCAGGAAAAUGUUUUCCCCAUGGCCACAGCUGGCUUUGACUCAUCACCCUUUGACAGAACUGCUGUGGAACUCAACUGAGUGUAAAUCUGGGUUUUCAGCCUGUCCCACGGUGCCAUCCCAUGGGAUCUGACUCCCAACGGGACACGGGGCUCCCCAGCCUCAGCCAGCAGCACUGGGGGCAGAAAUGCUGCCCAGAACCAUCCAGAACUCCAGCACAAAAUCAGGGAGGCUUUGAUGACAUUCACAAAGACAUUCCUGGAGCCAACAGCAAGGAAAAAGGGAUUCUGCUUUUGGGUUUUUACUGGGUGACAGAAUGGGGAAUCUGUCCCUCCCGAAAGACCAAACAGGGCUCUGACCCCACAGCAACCAAAAACCAGCUUCAGGUCAGCACAAGGCUCAGGAUGACACCCAAAUUCACACAAAAACAAAAAAAAAAAAAGGAACAGAAAAUUCAGUGGAUAACACUGGAAGAUGGGAAGCUCAAAAUCCAAACUGUUUUCACUGUAAUUUUUCAUUUGGAAAAGUGACUUCAAUAUUUUCCAAUGAUUUUUCAAGCUGAAACCAACUUAUGAAUAAUAAUAAUGAUAAGCUCCUCUGGCUGCAGUGAGGGAUCCCUAACCCUGGAUAAAUGAAGUGUCCAAGGGAAGCAGCAGACUCCUGGGAAAGCUGCGCAAAUCCAGGCAUCCUGUCCCAAACAGCCCCAUUACAAACAGGCACCCAAACCAGGAAAAUCCACUGCUCCAAUGAAGGUUCCAACACAAGCAAGGCAAAAUAAAUUGGAACAAAAGAAGGCCAGGCUGGAUGGAGCAACCUGGGACAGUGGGAGGUGUCCCUGGCCAUGGCAGGGGCAGGAACUGGAUGAGCUUUAAGGUCCUUUCCAACCCAAACCAUUCCAUGAUUCUAUGAAAAAAAAACAUUUCCACCUUGUCCCUCUCCCUGUCUCCAACCCCCUGAUUUCACAAGGAUUGUGCAAGUGAAGAACCUGCUGUAAACUGGCUGAAUUUAUGAGCUGACUGAUUUUUUUUUAACCGGCCAAAGUAGAUAAAAUUGUUAUUUAUUUCAUAUAUACUUCAAGUAAGUAAUGGAUACAGCACCAUCUAAAAGGCCAAAGGAAAGGGGAAUGUCUCCCAGUAAACAAAUCUUACCAGUAAAAAAAGAAGACAGACCAAGUAAUAAUAAUAAUAAUACUAAAAUUAAACUUAAAAAUUGCUAUUUCUGUGAUUUUCUAACCAUCCAAACUGCAAGGAGGGAAAGGAGAAGGGUCUGAGAGCUGGGAAACCCCGGAGUAGAAAGUUUGGAAGUUUCUGCCCUACACUGGAUUGCUUUUUACAGGGAGGAAACAACAUAAAUCCCUUACUUGGAGGCUGCAAGGACAACAGCUUCAGAUCAGAGCAGGUCGGAAGAGGCAAACCAGGUAAAAUGGAAUUAUUGGGAUGUGAAGGAGCUUGCAUGAAAGAUAAAAGAAAUUAUUUCUAUGAGAAGCACUGAAAUCUGGGAAAAUAAUGUGAAAAUAAUAAUUCAGUGCUGAGAAUCAACUUCAGAGGGAAGCAAAUGGCUCAGAGCAGUUGAGGAGGGCUGAGCUCAGAGCCCACAGGAAUUCCUUCCAGGAAUGCAGGCUCCAUGCAGGAAAUAAGGAGACACCAGUUUAGCAAGAGGGCUUGUGCUGGCUGGGGGAUGUUUUGAAUCCCUCUGCAAAUGGCAUUUGUGGAAAUCAGCUGCUGAGGCACUGCAGCCCAAAGAAAUAAUUGUAGUUGAUCAAAUUUUAUUUAUGCUGAAUUUUUGGGGUAAUGGUACAAGAUUUUUAUUGUAUGGAACUGGAACUGGGGCUAGAGACAUAAGGCACAACGUGUUCUCUGAUGGAAAGUUCUUGCUGCAGAGAACCCCUCCAGAACUCAAAUCUCUAUAAACUGGUCAAUAUUCUCAGCAAGUUCUAAAGGUAAAAGACACAUUUUAUCUCUUUGGAGUCAUAGAUUUACAAUUAAGGCCAGAAGGGACCAGUGACAAGGAGACCUUGAAGGUCGAGUGGCCUCCCACAAUCCUGAUGCAAACUCCCUAUUUCCAUCUACUUCCUAAAAAAA